CCUUUCUAAGACCGUGACUCACGGAUUGAAGACAUUGCUGCAAAAUUUCCCCAUUAUUAAUGUGCUCCUGCAAAUCCACCAUUCUCUCUCUCUUCGACGAACUGCAAAAGCAAGGGAAACAAAUUCUCAUCUCCAUUGCCGCUUCCAUUCUUUCAACUAAGAUUCUGCGUUCGGAGCUACAUUUUAGAGCACAGAGAAAGAUUAGUGCUCUUGAACAUGGUUCUUGAGAGCAUUCUAUCUUCUCCUCAUAGGAGGCACCCACCAUUUAGAAAACAGUUUCCUGCAAAUGAGUUGGGCAGUUGGUCCACUCUCUUCAAUCGACAUCGCUUCCUCUUAACCGCACUGGCACUCUUGACUUUACUUUGCACAAUCUAUCUUUACUUUGCUAUCACAUUAGGGGCUGCUGUUUCUUCUUGCUCGGGUUUGACUGGAGCUCAAAGGGAGUUGUGUCGUCUGGAGCAUGCUGAAGCUUCUCUGGGUAAAGGCAAAUUCAAAUUUCUAUGAUACAUAGGGACCUCGAGGUACAAAACCUUCUCAUGUAUUGGUUCUUCUCUUUGGUGGGAUCUGUAUUUAUAAACAAUUGAAGAUUGCCAUAGGCCAAAAGUUCAUUCAUCCAUUUUGAUUCACAUAUAUAUAUAUAGCAUAUAAGAUGUAGCAGAAUGUCAUGAGCAUUGCUUCCUUGCAUUAAUUUGAUAUUUUUGUUUGUUUCUUCUUUUUGAUGAUGGGUUUGUAAUUAAAACUUCAAUCAGAAUGUUCAUAUUAUUGUCAUUACAAUAAUAGAUGGGAACUACUGCUCAUGCCCUA